ensembl:lncRNA
ACCCGGCUCUCGUAAUGUCAAACCCGAUGCCCUCUCACGCCAAUUCGCCGCCUCCGAAGACGCUGCCCAGGACGCCCCCAUUCUUCCUCACACGUGUGUUGUCGGGGUCCUAACCUGGGAGAUUGAGUCAGCUAUUCGAGAGGCCCAACGGACGGAACCGGACCCUGGUACGGGUCCCCCGGGCCUACUUUUUGUUCCCUGUACUGUCAGAUCACGAGUUCUGCAUUGGGCACAUACUGCCAAGUUCACCUGCCACCCUGGGGUCCACCGCACCAUUACCUUCCUCCAACGCUUCGCCUGGUGGCCGUCUUUAGCUAAGGACGUCCGCGAAUACAUCCCCGCCUGUCCUACAUGCGCUCAAAAUAAAAACGUCAAUCAGCCAUCCUCCGGCCUUCUCCAACCUCUACCGACCCCUGGUCGUCCGUGGUCUCACAUUGCAGUUGACUUCAUCAAGGGCCUCCCUACCUCAUCAGACAUCGUCUCUGAUAGAGGGCCGCAGUUCACAUCACGGGUCUGGAAAGAAUUCUGCAACGCCCUCGGAGCACAGCAGCAUCUACGGAGGUGUCGACGUGCCUGGAGAGCCACCCGGGCCGCCCUUCUUCGCUCAGCUGAUCGCAAUAAGCGCCUGGCGGACCGUCAUCGGACCCCCGCACCUGCCUACGCCCCGGGACAAAAGGUUUGGCUGUCUACCAGAUUCGUUCCUCUCCGGGCUGAGUCAAAGAAACUGUCCCCCACCUUCAUUGGUCCGUUUGUUAUAGACUCUCUGGUUAACCCGGUUUCUGUCCGUCUCAAAUUGCCCCGAAACAUGCGGAUCCAUAACGUGUUUCAUGUGUCUCAAGUGAAACCCUGCCUGUCCAGUCCUUUGUUUCACUUCAACUAAACUUUCUGUUUUAUUUGGUGCUAAUGACCCCGAUUGGUUAUACAUAAUGUACAUAAUUUUGCAUGUUUAGAUUUUUAAUGGUAAAAUGUUGUUUUCAGAUCUUUCUCCUCAACGUGCAGUUUUCUGAAAUCUGAUAUUAAGAGUGCCAAACGGCUAUAACAGUGAUGCACGCAUAAAAAAGAGCUGAUGUGGAAAGUUGAAGCAGUCAUUGCAUCAAGAACAGCACAAGUUUUUCAGUGAUAAUAUGCUGACAUGUUAAAAAAAUACCAUAAUAAACAUAUUAAAAAUAUUGAUGUUUUAUGUGGCCAAACAUGAGUCUACCAGCAGGCUGCUGGAUUAAACAAUAAACACAUUUUAGUUUUCAAACAUUUUUAUUUUCUUUGCAACAACUUAAUUUUCAUUAUGCAAUAACUGCAUUGAUCUGAGUGUUUCUUUACUGAGCAUUAAA